AAAGUUUGAGGAUAGAAAGGCAGCUAUCACGCCUAUAAGUGAAAUGCUAAAUUGUCCAGAAUGUGGAUUGUUUUUACAAUCAUCACCUCGUUGUAGCGAGACGGAAAGGUGUAAGUAUAGAGGGUAACAGCUUAAAGGUCUUACAAGAGAUGUGGGGUACGCCGUCCCACCAAGCUUU
rnacentral:ncRNA from 12 species